GCUACCCCCCCCCCCCCCCCCCCUGCUGGCUUGCUGCCCCCACACGCUCAAACCCUCUGCUCAACCGGGUCUCUCUCCUCACCUCGUCGUCAUCACGGCGGCCGCCGGGCAGAUCUGGGGCUUAAUUUGCUGCAGAUCCCGGGAGCGAUGGGGCUUAACCCACUGCAGACGGGGGAGACAGGGCGGGCGCCGGAGCGCUCCCUGGAGGCGCUAGUGCUUACCUCUCGUGGAAGCUUUCAGGGUUGGGAUCCCGGCGAGCGGCGUCAUCAGCUCCGGCACUUACCUCGACUCCCAGAUGAGCAUGACAGAAGAAAGUACGGGAUUUCUAUUAGGACAAGGCUGCUGCCACUUGAACUAUUGCAGGGAUUGUUACACUUGCGCCCGUGCAGACGUGCUCAUGUGUCUCCAUGUGUGGCUCUCUAAUCAGAUCCAGGCGCUGCCUCCCUAUGCAGCAGGGGCCAGACUAUGCGCCGCCCUAGGCAUAGUCGGAUCUCUAAUCAGAUGAGCUGCCUCCACCAUUGUACGUAUGUUAAGCUGGGACAAUUAAACUGCAUGUGGUAAGUGAUUGACCAUCUACUGAUUGAUUUUGCAGAUCUGGCAAUCUGGAUAGCUAAACAUGUUAUAUAGUGGCCUCUAAGAUUUAGGACGUCUUCUUUUUCGGGGAAUGAUUCAGGCAUUUGAAACAUGUGGAAAAGCAUAUAUAGAAUUAGAUAAUUAAUCUCACAGUUGGUCAUAUUAUGAUGCUCGGUAAGGUUAAUAAGUUAUACGGUAAAAUUUUAUGUCUUUGUCGUGCUUCUCAGAAAAGAUAAUGGUAAUAGCAAUAAUAUGCCACUAUUUAUGAAGAAAAACAUUUGUAUGUACUGUAUUUGCAGCACUUAGUUGCAUGGUUCUCUUGGUUCUUUAAAAAAUAUAGGUUAACUUGAGCUAAUUUAUUAGCAUGUGUAUGAGCAUAGUUACGAGGCAUCCAAAGCAAGGAGAGGAUGGGAUGAACAGAACAAUUUCCAAAUUUGACCCGUAUUUGGUCAGGCAAGGUUAGCUUUUCUGUAGCUUUUAUUGAUGAAUUUGAUAUGAGAAAAAUAGGCGAACGUAAGCUUCUUUAAUCAUGCAUAUUGAUUAUAACAGUCUUAUGCUAUUUGAACCUUUUCAUUAUGCUUUGUACAUAUAACUUAUACUAUGCGCAUAUAUAUUGUUUCCAUGUAAGAAAGUAUGAUAAAUAAAAAUAAGUCAAAAAAAAUCUAUACAAUGCCUUCUGAAUCUGAGCAAUAUCCCCACAAUUUUUUUUCUGUAUCACAAGGGACCACCAUUAUGAGUAUAUGUGUUCCAAUGAGCAGGUGGUGCUAGCUUAACUCAUGAAUAAGGGAACACUAUAUCAACCUGUGAAGAAUGCUGACAUCGAGACAAAGAGUGAGCACCCCAAGGGUUAAUGCGUGGCGUACAAGGUUAUCAAAAGAACUAUGUCAUUUUUUGAAUUAAUUUACUAGACAAGUACACUCGCACAUGCGUCUUUGCAACAAAAUAAAAACUGCACUACUCUCUCUCUCUCUGUCUCUCUCUCUCUCAUCUAAUGUUAUCAGAAGUACUAAUUGUGGAUUUCAUCACUAUUUUCUCCAAAAACUCUGUUUAGUAUCCCUUCCACUGCAAGUUUAUUACUAUGUGAUUAGAGAAAUUAAGAGGUAUAUGUGCAUACUGUAAGAUCAUGACCAGUGGUGUACAGAAAUCCUAUGAAGUGUAAUACUCAACAUAUUUUAUAUGUACUAUCUGUGGUUAAUUUUCCAAUGUAUGUAUAUUAAGAUAUUUGUUGGAGUUGUCAUUAAUGCAAACCAUUGUGCUGUAAGAUUUCACACGGGAUAUCUAAAGGGAACUCUUUUAAAUUAUAUGGUCUUAUUCUACAACUAUGAUUAAGGGAGUAUGCACGGGUUGAUGAAAAUGUCGCACAAUUGAUUCGAUGUUGUAUCACCCAAUGCACAGUAGCUUCCUAGACUUUAUUUUGUUCUCAUCUAGUCGCAUGGUAUGAUGCCAUGUUCCCUUGUCUUUAUGUACAGUUUCCAUGUCCAGUGAAAAGACCAAAUCAUUUACUUAGUCGCUCUUGGCCUUUCUGCUAUCAUGGUUUUACUGAUGUUCACAUUCCAAAUUAACAAUUACUCCCUCCGUCCCAUAAUGUAAGACGUUUUUAGCACUGGUGUAGUGUCAAAAAACGUCUUACAUUAUGGGACAGAGGGAGUAGUUGCUAGUGGGUGUUGUCCUUGCUGAAGCGCUCACUUUAUGGAUUUCAAAGCUUCUUUGUUUACAUGUGAGCGUUGGAGUGCUUCCAAUUAAAGGACUUGUAUUAUUAUGCAUGGCUAAUUAAUACACUUCUAUAACUAUGUAAUUUUGAUAUUUAUUGUAUUGAAACUCCACUAUAACAACUGGUGCACUAAAUAACAAAAACUUUGUAAUCCAUGUGCAGCUUCUAGGUUCUGGCUUUGUAGUGCGCAUCAUAUCUAGCUGAAAAAUGAAAUGAUGUGGAACUAUGUUUGAUCUUGCUGGUGUGCUACUUGUCAACCUUGCUAUGCUGCUGUCUGCUGAAUUCUGGGUGUACAUCACCGCAAGUGAAUAUGGAAACAACUUCAAAACUAUUCUUCACAUUUUUUUACUAAAAAUUUGAACCACUGAACAUGAUCACUUCCAUAUCUUUGAAAUGAGAAUUUACUCAAGUUUCUAUUUUGCUAGCGAUAGUUUUGUUGCCAUGUUCAUAUAAGAAAAUGCCAAAUACGAAUUGCCUUCAUUAGCAACACAAUAUGUAGUAGCAAACCCCAACAGAAAUGAUUCUUUAGUUCCUAUGACAGAUAUAGAUGGAUUAUUAGUUCAUAAAGCAAGUGAUACAACAAAAAAACUAAGUGUUGUGUAUUUGUGAAUCAGAAAAAGGUGAACUCUCUCUCUCUCUCUCUAGGGUCUCUUGAAAAUAUUCACUUCUUCCUGUGUGAUUUAUCUCCCCUUUUUAGAUUUAUUUCUGUGUAUGCCAACUUCUUAGUUUUACUUAUAUUCCAGUGAGCUCUGUUUUAUACUGGUGUGGUUAUGCUUGUAAUGUUUUUUUUUUUUGCUUCUUGUGUGCUAAUGUUUGCAAUGGUAGUUGGUUUCUGUACUGUGCAAGCCUCAUGAUGCUAAUUGAAAUAUCCUUUAUCAUGUUGCAGAUGCUUAGCAAAUGCUUUCGCUGCUACCUGUUCUUAAUCAGCUGCUACUUUUUCUUAAUCAUCCGAUUUCUUACUCCUUUCAUUUAUGUAGGAAUGGCAUGUAGGUAGUUAUCCCCCAUGGGCACAUAGACCAGGAUACAUUGUAUCUCAGGAUAUAGGAAACACAAAAGAGGUGAGCUAAGGUACGCGCCCUUCUAAAAUUUCUAGAAAGAUGUUCAAGCUGGAGAAUGUUCUCCAAUGGGAUGAAGAAUGAAGGCUUUGAUGUCAAGUGCGAGAGCGAUGAAACAAUCUUGCUGGGAAGCCGUGAGGAUGAGUAGUAGUUGCCCACUACAAGGAGCCAAGGCAGAUGUUGUUUUGCAGAAAACAAAGUGAUGAACUUUUGCUCCGAGGCAAUGAACUAUCAUGUUAACUCUAUUUAAUUAGUUACAUUAGUUUAUUUAUAGAAAACUUGGCUGGUCAUUGAUUCAUAACAAAUGAACUAUUUAUAUGUGAAAAUUAAUGAAUGUGUGUGACUAUUGUUUGGUUCUGGUUCA